rnacentral:rRNA from 1 species
GACGGAGGAUGCAAGCGUUAUCCGGAAUGAUUGGGCGUAAAGCGUCCGCGGGUGGCAGUUCAAGUCUGCUGUCAAAGACCGGGGCUUAACUUCGGAAAGGCAGUGGAAACUGAACAGCUAGAGUAUGGUAGGGGCAGAGGGAAUUCCUGGUGUAGCGGUGAAAUGCGUAGAGAUCAGGAAGAACAUCGGUGGCGAAGGCGCUCUGCUGGACCAUAACUGACACUCAGGGACGAAAGCUAGGGGAGCGAAUGGG